UGGUGACACGUAUACCAAAAUGAUAAUACUGGAAUGGCACUGAGAUUAUUUGCUGGGGUCCUGCCCAAAGAUAACACCUACAUUUGUGAAGCAUUCUAUAUUUUU